AUGAAAACACACAUUCAAUACUAUGUACGUUGCUGCCCUACUUGCCAACAGGCCAAGCCAGACCGAGCCGCUUACCCUGGACUGCUCGAACCCUUGCCGGUGCCCAACGAAUCCUCGGAGAUGAUCACAAUGGAUUUUAUCGACGGACUCCCAACUUCUGGAGGUGUGAACUGCAUUCUGGUAAUCAUCGACAAGCUGACAAAAUUUGCUCACUUUCUGCCCCUAGCACACCCUUAUACAGCCUCCAAAGUAGCACUGCUAUACAUGAACCAAGUCUACCGGCUACAUGGAUUUCCAGGGUCGAUUGUGCCUGACCGUGAUCUGGUAUUUACAAGUCAUUUCUGGCAAGAACUCUUCAAGUAUGCAGGCACGGGUCUCAGAAUGAGUUCAGCCAACCACCCGCAGACGGAUGGCCAGACGGAGAGGGUUAACCAGUGCCUGGAAACCUUCCUCAGCUACUUCACGCAGGCGUGUCCCCGUCGAUGGAGCUACUGGAUUCCACUUGCCCAAUUCUGGUACAACUCUUCCCAUCAUUCUGCCAUUGGGAUGUCACCAUUUCGUGCCAUGUAUGGACAUGAACCACGACAAUGGGGGAUUACUUCAACGACCGCUUGUUCAGUUCCGGCCCUUCGUUCUUGGCUGGAUGAACGCGUUGUUGUGCAAGACCUGCUCCAACAGCAUCUUCACCGAGCGAGGCAGUGCAUGAAGCAACAAGCUGACAAAAAACGAUCAUUCCGAGCCUUUGAGGUGGGCGACUCAGUUUAUCUUAAGCUGCAACCUUAUAUCCAAACUUCAGUGGCUUCCCGCGCCUGUCACAAGCUGGCCUUCCAUUUCUUUGGGCCCUUCAAGAUUACUGGGCGGGUCAACGAGGUGGCCUACAAGCUUCAUCCGCCACCCCAGGCGCAAGUGCACCCCGUUUUUCAUGUAUCUCAGCUCAAGCGAGCACUUGGCCCAGGUAUGACAGCUUCCAGUGAGCUCCCAACUUAUCCUGACAUACCUUCAGUGCCAAUGGCAGUCCUUGAACGUCGCUGGCGCAAACGGCGCGGGGCUAUGGUGGAACAAGUGCUGGUCCGGUGGUCCAACCCAGCAGCAGUGGCUGAUUCAUGGGAGGACAAAAUGGCUCUGCAAGCUCGAUUCCCAGCCGCUGAAGCUUGGGGACAAGCUUCUGCUCAAGAAGGGGGGAUGUCAGCACACCUGACAUGGCGGCCCCGCCACGCAGCGACCCCAACGGCUCGCCCACGCCACCAAGACUGCCGCGGGCUCGCAAGAGCAACCCUCGAGUGA
rnacentral:rRNA from 1 species